rnacentral:rRNA from 1 species
AGAAUCAACGCUGGCGGCGUGCCUAACACAUGCAAGUCGAACGAGAAAGUGGAGCAAUCCAUGAGUAAAGUGGCGCACGGGUGAGUAACACGUGACUAACCUACCCUUGAGUGGGGGAUAACCUAGGGAAUCUGGGCUAAUACCGCAUAACACUUACGAGUCAAAGCAGCAAUGCGCUUGGAGAGGAGUUCGCGGCCGAUUAGCUAGUUGGCGGGGUAAUGGCCCACCAAGGCGAUGAUCGGUA